CCUACGGGAGGCAGCAGUGAGGAAUAUUGGUCAAUGGACGAGAGUCUGAACCAGCCAAGUAGCGUGAAGGAUGACUGCCCUAUGGGUUGUAAACUUCUUUUAUAUGGGAAUAAAAUGUUCCACGUGUGGGAUUUUGUAUGUACCAUAUGAAUAAGGAUCGGCUAACUCCGUGCCAGCAGCCGCGGUAAUACGGAGGAUCCGAGCGUUAUCCGGAUUUACUGGGUGUAAAGGGCGUGUAGCCGGGUUGACAAGUCAGAUGUGAAAUCCUGCGGCUUAACCGCAGAACUGCAGUUGAAACUGUUGAGCUUGAGUACGGGGAAGGCAGACGGAAUUCCUGGUGUAGCGGUGAAAUGCGUAGAUAUGAGGAGGAACACCAGUGGCGAAGGCGGUCUGCUGGACAGCAACUGACGGUGAGGCGCGAAAGCGUGGGGAGCAAACAGGAUUAGAUACCCGAGUAGUC
rnacentral:rRNA from 1 species